AGCAAAUAUUGGUUUUUUUUCAUCUUUAUACACAUUCAAGUUUGCAGGGCAGACACAUGAUAACAUAAAACUUUGUUGGAAGCAGGAGACAAGAAGAAAAUGGAGCUCUGUUUCUGUGCAGUUAAUAAAAAUCAGCAGAAGGAAGGCUGUCAGUGUGGAAUAAAGACAGAGGAGUUAUGUGCAUUUCGUGCAGUUCACGUGAGUGCGAUGCAUUUCGUGGCACUGCACUGAAAGAAGAGGUUGAGAUACAUGCAUCUCUCACAUGGGCUACUCCUCGUUCCUAAAACAUGCCAGCCCUUUCCUAACCGUGCUUACUGAAAGCUCUGGCAAUGCUUUCACAUCAAUUACUCAGCAAAGAGAAGACUUUUGCUCCUGUGGCACACCUUAUGCGUCACACUGGCAAGCAAGGCCCUAACUCUGCAGACUGCCCCCUGUUCCACUGCUCUGAAGAAUAAAAUACAUGACUACGUAAGAGCGUGCUUCUCUCAGCUUUGCCUUGUGGUUAAAUAUUAAACAAUGCUGUCCUUAACUGAGGAGAAGGUCAGAACACACUGUAUCUCCUUCCAGCCCAAAAGCUAACCUCCUCCUUUCUCCUUUUCCUUCCCUUCCCUCCCUCCUGCUGCUUUCAGACAUAUGCAAGGAUAGCUGCCACCAUUAACUGCAACAGGGAGAUGAGAGCAACUACAAAACUGGGCUUCUGAUGACAAGAACCACGUAUCACAUGGAGCAGCUGAAGGAGAAUGAUGUCAUAAUGGUGACCUUGGCAUAAGAACAGAUACAGGAAAGGAUCAGUUAUUUUUCUGCAUAUUCAACUUAAGUGAAGUGUACCUGCAGUGCUUCCA